GACGAACGCUGGCGGCGUGCUUAACACAUGCAAGUGGAGCGACUAAGCGGGCUUCGGCCCGUGGCAAAGCCGCGAACGGGUGAGUAACACGUGGGUAACCUGCCCUGAUGACCGGGACAACCCGAGGAAACUCGGGCUAAUACCGGAUGUGGUCCACACACAUGAGUGAUUGGACUAAAGGUAGCUUCGGCCUCCGCAUCAGGCUGGGCCCGCGGCGCAUUAGCUUGUUGGUGAGGUCAUGGCUUACCAAGGCGACGAUGCGUGACUGGUCUAAGAGGACGAUCAGCCACACUGGGACUGAGGACAGGGCCGGGCUCUUACGGGCGUCAGCAGUGGGGGAUCUUGCGGAAUGCGCGGAGACGUGACGCAGCAACGCCGCGUGAGGGAAGACGGCUGUCGGGUUGUAAACCUCUUUCAGGAGGGACGAAGCCUGGCUGGUGAAUAGCCUGUCCAGGUGACGGUACCUCCACAAGAAGUCCCGGCUAACUACGUGCCAGCCGCCGCCGUAA
rnacentral:rRNA from 1 species